rnacentral:tRNA from 1 species
GGCCAGUUAACUCAGUUUGUUAGAGUGUCGUGUAAAUGAUGCGGGACGUGGGUUCGAACCCCACACUGGCUA